CCGGCGGACGCUGGGUCUGCAGAUGCCAUCCAGGCGCACGGCGGGUAUAGUGGUUCCGCAACCUUGGGAUGUUCGGCCGAGCGCCUGCCUAACAUGGGAGCGCCUGCCUAACCCUCCUGACUGGAGGGUCAGCGGCGGGGAGUCCUGGCCUUCAAUCGGCCAUCGCCACGGCAGAAACUGGGGCCCGGGCCUUCCCCGUCCGUCCACAGGUCUCAUGGGCGCCCGGACUGGGGCUGAUGUAGUUUCCCGACCUCUGACACAUAGAAUCUGGAGAUUAAAGCUGCUCUGCUAAUAAUUAGGUUCCCACCUCUCAAGAUCAUUAGGAGCUUCUUUUCCAAUUUCUCUGUUUUGCAUGCAUUGGAAGGAUCUGGAGCUCAGGACCCACUACCUCCCCGGCCCACUGCAAGCUUGAACAUUUGAUGGUGGACACCCCUCCCUGACUUUGUAUUAUGGUCCAGAUUUUGGAUGAAUCUCUAUAAUGGAGAUUGAACAGUGUCACUGGCGUGGGGGUUACCUUCCCACUAUGUCCCCCAGAAGACAUGAGGCCACAGACUGCAGUGCCCGUGGACAGAGGAGCUGUGGGGAUGGAAGUGUGAUUGCUUCAUUCAAAUGCACGCCCCGGUGCGUGUGCGUCUCUUCUGAUGCAGCGCCCCAUGGGUAAGCUCUGUGCUUCUCCACACAGUGGAUCAGGAAUGGAAGCAUUCUGUCUGUUUAGCACUUGACGGUUUGGUGGUGACCUGAUGUCAUGGUGAUAAUAGAGGCAAUGAUCCUAACAGCUUAGAACUGUUCAGCUUGGCCGGGCCUGGUGGCUCACACCUGUAAUCCCAGCACUUUGGGAGACUGAGGUGGGUGUAUCACCUGAGGUCAGGAGUUUGAGACCAGGCUGGCCAACAUGGCGAAACCCCGUCUCUACUAAAAAUACAAAAAUUAGCCGGGUAUGGUGGCACACGCCUGUAAUCCCAGCUACUUGGGAGGCUGAGGCAGGAGAAUCGCUUGAACCCGGAAGGUGGAGGCUUCAGUGAGCUGAGAUCUUGCCAUUGCACUCCAGCCUGGGUGACGGAGCGAGACUCUGUCUCAAAAAAAAAAAAAAAAAAAAAAUUGUUCACCUUGUGGGUAGGUAUUUGGGAAACAUUAUAUGUAUUACCUGGUCUUAGUUAUCUGCAGUGGUUUUGUUAUUUUUUGCAUAAACUGCUGAGAAUGUUUAAUAAUUGUAGAUGAUAGAUCACUAGUCACUCUAAAAUCUUCCCAUUUCUUGGUCUAGAGCUGGGGCUAGAUCCCUCAGCAACGAGGAGACCUGAAAACUAGAGGAAAAAAAGCAGGUCCUCCCUAUAAACCACUCAUCUGUGCUCUCUUCCAAUUUAUUCUCCUUUUGUGUACAUAAUUUUAAGGGGCUAUAAUCAUCUUGUUCAGACCUCAGGAUAUAAAAUGACCCAUCUGUAUACCUCCAGCGGUAUCCCAAGGUUGUCUGUUUUGUUUUUUUUUGAAAUUCCUGACAAGUUUCAGUUGUAGCUGUGCCCUGAGGAAACAUUCCCGAUUCCCGGAGUAGCUUCCAGGUUAAAGUCCUGUAGGCUUCUUCUGUUUUUAGAAAUUCCUAUCAGAGAAAGACCUGAUUUUGGAUUUUUAGCUUUAAUGCUUGUGAAAAGCUAUAAAAAUAAUUUUCUACGCCUAGCUUUGAAGUGUACUGUUAGUGAGAAAUUAAAAUUCCUUCAGGAGGAUUAAACUGCCAUUUCUGUUACCCUAAUUCCAAAAGUUUUGGUUGUUAGAAUUUUCUUUACUGUUCAUGAAGAAGUAUUUUAUAUUUUCCUUCGACAUUGAUUCUCU
rnacentral:lncRNA from 1 species